GACAGAGGGGGCAAGCGUUGCUCGGAAUUACUGGGCGUAAAGGGCGCGUAGGCGGGAUGGCAAGUCGGUCGUGAAAUCCUUCGGCUCAACCGAAGAACGUCGAUCGAUACUGCUGUUCUAGAGGGUUGCAGAGGAGACUGGAAUUCCCGGUGUAGUGGUGAAAUGCGUAGAGAUCGGGAGGAACACCUGUGGCGAAGGCGGCCCCCUGGGCCGGCCCUGACACUGAGACGCGAAGGCGUGGGGAGCGAACGGG
rnacentral:rRNA from 1 species